rnacentral:rRNA from 1 species
UAUUGGUCAAUGUACGAGAGUCUGAACCAGCCAAGUAGCGUGAAGGAUGACUGCCCUAUGGGUUCUAAACUUCUUUUAUAUGGGAAUGAAACAGGGUAUGCAUACCCUCUUGUAUGUACCUUAUGAAUAAGGAUCGGCUAACUCCGUGCCAGCAGCCGCGGUAAUACGGAGGAUCCGAGCGUUAUCCGGAUUUAUUGGGUUUAAAGGGAGCGUAGGCGGGUUGUUAAGUCAGUUGUGAAAGUUUGCGGCUCAACCGUAAAAUUGCAGUUGAUACUGGCAUCCUUGAGUACAGUAGAGGUAGGCGGAAUUCGUGGUGUAGCGGUGAAAUGCUUAGAUAUCACGAAGAACUCCGAUUGCGAAGGCAGCUCACUGGACUGUUGACCGACACUGAGGCUCGAAAGUGUGGGUAUCAAAC